rnacentral:tRNA from 1 species
UUUAGGGAGACCAUCUGAACAUCGACCGAACCUAAAAUAUAGGUCGUUAUCAGUCAUCUGGUCGUUCGAGGAAUAAAGCUUUCAAACUAUUAUGGUUCGGAACUCGUGGGCUCAGUUGGUUAGAGCGCACCCCUGAUAAGGGUGAGGUCCCUGGUUCAAAUCCAGGAUGGCCCACCUGGAAAAAAGUGAUGAAUUGUCAGUAAUGUAAUGGAUAAUCAAUGAUAAUUCAGGACUCAUAAAAUCAAAAUCACUUACAAGUGUGGGGGUAUAGCUCAGUUGGUAGAGCGCCUGCCUUGCACGCAGGAAGUCAGCGGUUCGAGUCCGCUUACCUCCACUCUCACUAACUAGAAUCAACUACAAAAGAAUAGAUCAGCACCUAGACUAUCGAAAAGUCGGAAUGCUGGAGUCUAGAACUCUAGUCAGAACCUUGAAAACUGCAUAGAAAUUCAUCAAAGCGUGUCUAUCAUCC